UGCAGGGCAACCCAUCUUGUGCGCGGGGCCUCUAGUAUUCCAAUGAUCAGCAACCCUUGCAGGGCGGACAUUGGAGCCCAUUCUGCAGAUGAAGAAACUGAGUUCCCAGAGAGGCCAGGGAUCAUGCUGGAGUCUGACACUGGGCCGUAUGACCUCACUACACAGCAUAGCCCCUCUGGGCAGAGCCAGAAGAAGGUCCGACUUCAGGCACCUGUAGAUGGUCCGGUUGACAGCCCCAGGCUCCGCCCAGCCGACAACCAGUAUCAGCUACCAGCCAAGUGAGUGUGUCGAAUUGGACAUCCAGCCCAGUCGAGCCUUCGGAUGAUGGCAGCCCCACCCAACAACUGCCUGGGAACCCCCCAGCGAGACCUGCCCAGCCACGGGGUGACACCUGAGUUUCAGGAUGGCUGGCUGCUGAGCUCACAUGUACCUGGACAGUCAAGUUCCUGGUUCAAGUCCAAGAGGAAGGCAGGAGCGUGGCCAGGUGCCUCAGGAGAAGGUUGGGCCAGGUGAGCUGGAACUCGCGGAGUCACCCGGCAUGGGCACCUUCCUCUUCCUCUCGCCCUGUGCUCUGGGCGGACGGCGGGGCUCUAGGCCGCACACACCUUGAUCCCUUCAGUGUGAUCCACAGAGUGAGUCAGAGACCGGUGUUUGGACAAGGCUGCUAUAUAUCAUUUGGCUCAUGGAUUGGGAGAACUCCGUGUGCUCUUUUUUAAUAUCCUGAGUCCACCUA